CCUACGGGUGGCAGCAGUGAGGAAUAUUGGUCAAUGGGCGGAAGCCUGAACCAGCCAAGUCGCGUGAGGGAUUAAGGCCCUGCGGGUCGUAAACCUCUUUUGCCGGGGAGCAGAGGUCCGGACGUGUCCGGGCCGGGCGAGUACCCGGAGAAAAAGCAUCGGCUAACUCCGUGCCAGCAGCCGCGGUGAUACGGAGGGUGCGAGCGUUAUCCGGAUUUAUUGGGUUUAAAGGGUGCGUAGGCGGGCAUUUAAGCCGGGGGUCAAAUGUCGGGGCGCAACCCCGGCCUGCCGUCGGAACUGGGUGCCUUGAGUGGGCGGGAAGGAUGCGGAAUGCGUAGGGUAGCGGUGAAAUGCAGAGAUAACACGGAGAACCCCGAUUGCGAAGGGAGCAUACCGGCGCCCUACUGACGCUGAGGCACGAAAGUGGGGGUAUCGAACAGGAUUAGAUACCCCUGUAAGUC
rnacentral:rRNA from 1 species